rnacentral:misc_RNA from 1 species
ACCAUUCAUCCCAUCUUCUUAUGCCAUUCCAGAUUCCUUGAUGAAGGGGAGGGGGGAAGCCACAGAUGCUCAAGGUAACUUUUGAGUUUGCUUGCACUCUAAUUGAAGAGGAAAAGCAGAAGUCUUUGAAUUUGCGUUCCACAUCAUUCUUCCAAUUUUGGGAUAAAAUUAAAACCCAACAAAAACUAGUCUUUCUAUUUUUCUAUUUUUCUUUUUUUUUUUCAGCAAUUAUCUACUCUCUCUCUCUCUUUAAGCUUUAGAGAGAGAAAUUUCUCUCCAUUUUGUGAGUCCUUCAAGAGGCCUUUUCUUAUCUCUUUCAAGCAGAGAGAGUACAUUCCUUAAUCUGAAAAGCUUGUGAUUGUGUCAAGAAAAGUUGAUUUUUGCUAAAACCUUACAUGUGGCUACCUAUCAAAGUAGUGUUUGUUAGAAAAUAACAGUAAACUCUGAAUGUGUAUUCACUCUCUUUAAAAGAAUUAUUCCUCCUCCCAUAUUGUUGCGGGAUAAUAUGAGCAAAUCUCUUUAAAAUAAUAAAGCCAAUUUGAAGCUGGUUGAGCUCUACCAUGCAUUCCUGUGAAAGUCAAUUGAAUAAAGCUGCAUGAAGUACGAGACGGAAGAAGGGCUUUAUUUGUGGUUAGGGAAGGCUUCGUUCGUGCUACAAUUGCAUGGACCUUUGACUAUUACUCUUAUAGCCAACAUCAAGCCAUUUCAUUGCUGAAGACAAUUGGCGGGGCGAUUUUGUUGUUCAUUGUUAGAAAA